UGAGAAGGAAGGAGUGUGGCAUAUUCGA
rnacentral:piRNA from 1 species